rnacentral:tRNA from 1 species
AGCCCGGCGAGCCGCCCGGGCAGGGCGGCGGCCUGGGCCCGCCCGGUGUCGUCCAGGUCGACACCGGGCGUCCA